AACGAACGCUAUCGGUAUGCUUAACACAUGCAAGUCGGACGGACUAAUUAGGGCUUGCUCCAAUUAGUUAGUGGCAGACGGGUGAGUAACACGUGGGAAUCUGCCCAUCAGUACGGAAUAACUUUUAGAAAUAAAAGCUGAUACCGUAUAUUCUCUACAGAGGAAAGAUUUAUCGCUGAUGGAUGAGCCCGCGUCAGAUUAGGUAGUUGGUGAGGUAACGGCUCACCAAGCCGACGAUCUGUAGCUGGUCUGAGAGGAUGAUCAGCCACACUGGGACUGAGACACGGCCCAGACUCCUACGGGAGGCAGCAGUGGGGAAUAUUGGACAAUGGGCGAAAGCCUGAUCCAGCAAUACCGAGUGAGUGAUAAAGGCCCUAGGGUUGUAAAGCUCUUUUAGCAAGGAAGAUAAUGACGUUACUUGCAGAAAAAGCCCCGGCUAACUCCGUG
rnacentral:rRNA from 1 species